rnacentral:rRNA from 1 species
AACGAACGCUGGCGGCGUGCCUAACACAUGCAAGUCGUGCGAGAAAGUUCCUUCGGGAGCGAGUAAAGCGGCGCACGGGUGAGUAACACGUAGGUAACCUGCCCCCCCAGUCUGGAACAACUAGAGGAAACUCUAGUUAAUGCCGGAUGAGACCACGAUCCCUUCGGGGGUUGCGGCCAAAGAUGGCCUCUACUUGUAAGCUAUCGCUGAGGGAUGGGCCUGCGGGCCAUUAGCUUGUUGGUGAGGUAACGGCUCACCAAGGCUGUGAUGGCUAGCUGGUCUGAGAGGAUGACCAGCCACACUGGGACUGAGACACGGCCCAGACUCCUACGGGAGGCAGCAGUGGGGAAUAUUGCGCAAUGGGCGAAAGCCUGACGCAGCGACGCCGCGUGGGUGA